UACGUAGGGUGCGAGCGUUGUCCGGAAUUAUUGGGCGUAAAGGGCUCGUAGGCGGUUUGUCGCGUCGGGAGUGAAAACCCAGGGCUUAACCCUGGGCUGGCUUCCGAUACGGGCAGACUAGAGGUAUGCAGGGGAGAACGGAAUCCCUGGUGUAGCGGUGAAAUGCGCAGAUAUCAGGAGGAACACCGGUGGCGAAGGCGGCAUCCUGGACCAACACUGACGCUGAGGAGCGAAAGCCAGGGGAGCAAACGGG
rnacentral:rRNA from 1 species